GACGAACGCUGGCGGCGUGCUUAACACAUGCAAGUCGAACGGAAAGGCCCUGCUUUUGUGGGGUGCUCGAGUGGCGAACGGGUGAGUAACACGUGAGUAACCUGCCCUUGGCUUUGGGAUAACUUCAGGAAACUGGGGCUAAUACCGGAUAGGAGCUCCUACUGCAUGGUGGGGGUUGGAAAGUUUCGGCGGUUGGGGUUGGACUCGCGGCUUAUCAGCUUGUUGGUGGGGUAGUGGCUUACCAAGGCUUUGACGGGUAGCCGGCCUGAGAGGGUGACCGGCCACAUUGGGACUGAGAUACGGCCCAGACUCCUACGGGAGGCAGCAGUGGGGAAUAUUGCACAAUGGGCGGAAGCCUGAUGCAGCAACGCCGCGUGCGGGAUGACGGCCUUCGGGUUGUAAACCGCUUUCGCCUGUGACGAAGCGUGAGUGACGGUAAUGGGUAAAGAAGCACCGGCUAACUACGUG
rnacentral:rRNA from 1 species